GACGAACGCUGGCGGCGUGCCAAUACAUGCAAGUCGAGCGAAGCGGCGGACGGGUGAGUAACACGUGGGUAACCUGCCCAAGAGACUGGGAUAACACCUGGAAACAGAUGCUAAUACCGGAUACUCUUGGAUGGACCUGCGGUGCAUUAGCUAGUUGGUAAGGUAACGGCUUACCAAGGCAAUGAUGCAUAGCCGAGUUGAGAGACUGAUCGGCCACAUUGGGACUGAGACACGGCCCAAACUCUACGGGAGGCAGCAGUAGGGAAUCUUCCACAACGGACGAAAGUCUGAUGGAGCAACGCCGCGUGAGUGAAGAAGGGUUUCGGCUCGUAAAGCUCUGUUGGUAGUGAAGCGGUAAUUACUUAGAAAGUCACGGCUAACUACGUGCCAGCAGCCGCGGUAAUACGUAGGUGGCAAGCGUUGUCCGGAUUUAUUGGGCGUAAAGCGAGUGCAGGCGGUUCAAUAAGUCUGAUGUGAAAGCCUUCGGCUCAACCGGAGAAUUGCAUCAGAAACUGUUGAACUUGAGUGCAGAAGAGGAGAGUGGAACUCCAUGUGUAGCGGUGGAAUGCGUAGAUAUAUGGAAGAACACCAGUGGCGAAGGCGGCUCUCUGGUCUGCAACAGACGCUGAGGCUCGAAAGCGUGGGUAGCGAACAGGAUUAGAUACCCUGGUAGUCCAUGCCGUAAACGAUGAGUGCUAAGUGUGGGCAGUGCUGCAGCUAACGCAUUAAGCACUCCGCCUGGGGAGUACGACCGCAAGGUUGCAACUCAAAGGAA
rnacentral:rRNA from 1 species